rnacentral:rRNA from 1 species
GACGAACGCUGGCGGCGUGCUUAACACAUGCAAGUCGAACGGAAAGGCACUGCUUUUGUGGGGUGCUCGAGUGGCGAACGGGUGCGUAACACGUGAGUAACCUGCCCUUGACUUUGGGAUAACUUCAGGAAACUGGGGCUACUACAGGAUAGGAGCUCCUGCUGCAUGGUGGGGGUUGGAACGUUUCGGCGGGUGGGGAUGGACUCGCGGCUUAUCAGCUUGUUGGUGGGGUAGUGGCUUACCAAGGCUUUGACGGGUAGCCGGCCUGAGAGGGUGACCGGCCACAUGGGGACUGAGAUACGGCCCAGACUGCUACGGGAGGCAGCAGUGGGGAAUAUUGCACAAUGGGCGGAAGCCUGAUGCAGCAACGCCGCGUGCGGGAUGACGGCCUUCGGGUUGUAAACCGCUUUCGCCUGUGACGAAGCGUGAGUGACGGUAAUGGGUAAAGAAGCACCGGCUAACUACGUG